AUUGAACGCUGGCGGCAUGCCUUACACAUGCAAGUCGAACGGCAGCACGGGAGCUUGCUCCUGGUGGCGAGUGGCGAACGGGUGAGUAAUACAUCGGAACGUACCCUGAAGUGGGGGAUAACGUAGCGAAAGUUACGCUAAUACCGCAUAUUCUGUGAGCAGGAAAGAGGGGGAGUCGCAAGACCUCUUGCUUUAGGAGCGGCCGAUGUCGGAUUAGCUAGUUGGUGAGGUAAAGGCUCACCAAGGCGACGAUCCGUAGCGGGUCUGAGAGGAUGAUCCGCCACACUGGGA
rnacentral:rRNA from 1 species